CCUACGGGAGGCAGCAGUGGGGAAUAUUGGACAAUGGGCGAAAGCCUGAUCCAGCCAUGCCGCGUGUGUGAAGAAGGCCUUCGGGUUGUAAAGCACUUUCAGUGGGGAAGAAAGCCUUGGGGCUAAUACCCUCGAGGAAGGACAUCACCCACAGAAGAAGCACCGGCUAACUCCGUGCCAGCAGCCGCGGUAAUACGGAGGGUGCGAGGUUAAUCGGAAUUACUGGGCGUAAAGCGCGCGUAGGCGGUCUGAUAAGCCGGUUGUGAAAGCCCCGGGCUCAACCUGGGAACGGCAUCCGGAACUGUCAGGCUAGAGUGCAGGAGAGGAAGGUAGAAUUCCCGGUGUAGCGGUGAAAUGCGUAGAGAUCGGGAGGAAUACCAGUGGCGAAGGCGGCCUUCUGGACUGACACUGACGCUGAGGUGCGAAAGCGUGGGUAGCAAACAGGAUUAGAUACCCUGGUAGUC
rnacentral:rRNA from 1 species